GGUUAAGCGACUAAGCGUACACGGUGGAUGCCCUGGCAGUCAGAGGCGAUGAAGGGCGUGCUAAUCUGCGAUAAGCGCCGGUAAGGUGAUAUGAACCGUUAUAACCGGCGAUACCCGAAUGGGGAAACCCAGUGUGACUCGUCACACUAUCAUUAACUGAAUCCAUAGGUUAAUGAGGCGAACCGGGGGAACUGAAACAUCUAAGUACCCCGAGGAAAAGAAAUCAACCGAGAUUCCCCCAGUAGCGGCGAGCGAACGGGGAGGAGCCCAGAGCCUGAAUCAGCAUGUGUGUUAGUGGAAGCGUCUGGAAAGGCGCGCGAUACAGGGUGACAGCCCCGUACACAAAAGCGCAUGUGCUGUGAGCUCGAUGAGUAGGGCGGGACACGUGGUAUCCUGUCUGAAUAUGGGGGGACCAUCCUCCAAGGCUAAAUACUCCUGACUGACCGAUAGUGAACCAGUACCGUGAGGGAAAGGCGAAAAGAACCCCGGCGAGG
rnacentral:rRNA from 1 species